CCUACCUACGGGGGGCAGCAGUGGGGGAUAUUGCACAAUGGGGGAAACCCUGAUGCAGCGACGCCGCGUGGGUGAAGAAGCGCCUCGGCGCGUAAAGCCCUGUCAGCAGGGAAGAAAAUGACGGUACCCAAAGAACAAGCCCCGGCUAACUACGUGCCAGCAGCCGCGGUAAUACGUAGGGGGCAAGCGUUGUCCGGAAUGACUGGGCGUAAAGGGUGUGUAGGCGGUUUAUUAAGUUAGAAGUGAAAUACCUAGGGCCUAACCCAGGUGCUGCUUCUAAAACUGAUAGACUU
rnacentral:rRNA from 1 species